CUGGCUUUCAAUUGUGUAACCGCUCUUUAAGUUGGGAUCCUCUCAGAUUUCUUUAUAAGAAAUCACAUAGAUUAAGUGAAUUGGCAAGAACUAUCACUGUGAGAUCAGAUCUUUCUGGAGCUGCAACCCCUGAAUCUUCUUAUCCGGAACCAGUGCAGAGAUUAAGUUGAGCUCAAGACUCAGAGGGG